rnacentral:lncRNA from 1 species
GGAGAUCCAAGAGGAGAGGGGAAAACAUAGAUCCUCUAUGAAUGUUUGCCAGAUCUAGGAGGUUUUUGAUGGAUUUUUUCAAAUAUUUGUCAACCAAGGACCGAAAGAGGGAUCGGGGGACCGUUAGAGUGGAAAGAGAUCAAAGAGAGAGGGGAGUGGAUUGCUGGAGUGGGAAGAGAUCAGAAAGAGGGGAGAGUGGAGCAUCGGAGUGAAGAGAUAUUAG